GCAUUCUUAGCUCAGUAGGCUAGAGCAACAACCUUCUAAGUUGUGGGUCGCGGGUUCGAGCCCUGCAGAAUGUA
rnacentral:tRNA from 1 species